rnacentral:rRNA from 1 species
ACCAGCGCCACAAGUGGCAACCACGUUUAUUGGGCCUAAAGCGUCCGUAGCCGGCUUUGUAAAUCUCUUGUGAAAUCGUCAGGCUUAACCUGACGGCGUGCUAGAGAAACUGCAUCGCUUGAGACCGGGAGGAGUCAGAGGUAUUCCUGAGGGAGCGGUAAAAUGUGAUAAUCUCAGGAGGAUCACCUAUGGCGAAGGCAUCUGACCAGAACGGUUCUGACGGUCAGGGACGAAGGCUAGGGGAGCGAUCCGG